rnacentral:rRNA from 1 species
GACGAACGCUGGCGGCGUGCCUAAUACAUGCAAGUCGAGCGAAGUUUUUCUGGUGCUUGCACUAGAAAGACUUAGCGGCGCACGGGUGAGUAACACGUAAAGAACCUGCCUCAUAGACUGGGACAACUAUUGGAAACGAUAGCUAAUACCGGAUAACAGUAUUUCUCGCAUGAGAGAUAUUUAAAAGUUGGUUAUGCUAACACUAUGAGAUGGCUUUGCGGUGCAUUAGCUAGUUGGUGGGGUAAAGGCCCACCAAGGCGACGAUGCAUAGCCGACCUGAGAGGGUGAUCGGCCACACUGGGACUGAGACACGGCCCAGACUCCUACGGGAGGCAGCAGUAGGGAAUCUUCCGCAAUGGGCGAAAGCCUGACGGAGCAACGCCGCGUGAGUGAAGAAGGAUUUCGGUUCGUAAAGCUCUGUUGUUAGGGAAGAAUGGAUAUGUAGUAACUAUACAUGUAAGAGACGGUACCUAACCAGAAAGCCACGGCUAACUACGUG